CCGGCCGUAGCAGGUGAUAGCCCUGUAGACGAAAUUUUGAGUGUGGAACUAAGCGUAAGAAAAGUAGGGCGGGACACGUGAAAUCCUGUUUGAAGAUGGGGGGACCAUCCUCCAAGGCUAAAUACUCGUGAUCGACCGAUAGUGAACCAGUACCGUGAGGGAAAGGCGAAAAGAACCCCGGAAGGGGAGUGAAAUAGAUCCUGAAACCGUAUGCAUACAAACAGUAGGAGCCUCCUUGUGGGGUGACUGCGUACCUUUUGUAUAAUGGGUCAGCGACUUACAUUCAGUGGCAAGGUUAACCGAAUAGGGAAGCCGUAGCGAAAGCGAGUCCGAAUAGGGCGAUUCAGUCGCUGGGUGUAGACCCGAAACCAGAUGAUCUAUCCAUGGCCAGGUUGAAGGCACGGUAACACGUGCUGGAGGACCGAACCCACUAAUGUUGAAAAAUUAGGGGAUGAGCUGUGGAUAGGGGUGAAAGGCUAAACAAAUCUGGAAAUAGCUGGUUCUCUCCGAAAACUAUUUAGGUAGUGCCUCAAGUAUUACUGCGGGGGGUAGAGCACUGUUAUAGCUAGGGGGUCAUGGCGACUUACCAAACUAUGGCAAACUCCGAAUACCCGCAAGUACAGCUUGGGAGACAGAGCACCGGGUGCUAACGUCCGGACUCAAGAGGGAAACAACCCAGACCGCCAGCUAAGGUCCCAAAUUAUCGCUAAGUGGGAAACGAAGUGGGAAGGCAUAGACAGUCAGGAGGUUGGCUUAGAAGCAGCCAUCCUUUAAAGAAAGCGUAAUAGCUCACUGAUCGAGUCGUCCUGCGCGGAAGAUGUAACGGGGCUAAGCGAUAAACCGAAGCUGCGGGUGUGCACUUUUAGUGCACGCGGUAGGAGAGCGUUCUGUAAGCCUGCGAAGGUGGCUUGUAAAGGCUGCUGGAGGUAUCAGAAGUGCGAAUGCUGACAUGAGUAGCGAUAAAGGGGGUGAAAAGCCCCCUCGCCGUAAGUCCAAGGUUUCCUGCGCAACGUUCAUCGGCGCAGGGUGAGUCGGCCCCUAAGGCGAGGCAGAGAUGCGUAGCUGAUGGGAAGCUGGUUAAUAUUCCAGCACCGUCGUACAGUGCGAUGGGGGGACGGAUCGCGGAAGAUCAUCAGGGUGUUGGAUGUCCCUGUUGCUGCAUCGAAGAUGGCGCUUAGGCAAAUCCGGGCGCGUAAAUCAAGGGUGUGGCACGAGCGAGCAUUGCUUGCGAAGUGAUUGGAAGUGGUUCCAAGAAAAGCCUCUAAGCUUCAGCUGUACGAGACCGUACCGCAAACCGACACAGGUGGACGGGAUGAAUAUUCCAAGGCGCUUGAGAGAACUCAGGAGAAGGAACUCGGCAAAUUGAUACCGUAACUUCGGGAGAAGGUAUACCCCGGUAGUGUGAAGCGCCUGCGCGCUUAGCAUGAUGGGGUCGCAGAGAAUCGGUGGCUGCGACUGUUUAUUAAAAACACAGCACUCUGCAAAGACGAAAGUCGACGUAUAGGGUGUGACGCCUGCCCGGUGCCGGAAGGUUAAGUGAUGGGGUGCAAGCUCUUGAUCGAAGCCCCGGUAAACGGCGGCCGUAACUAUAACGGUCCUAAGGUAGCGAAAUUCCUUGUCGGGUAAGUUCCGACCUGCACGAAUGGCGUAACGAUGGCCACACUGUCUCCUCCUGAGACUCAGCGAAGUUGA
rnacentral:rRNA from 1 species